rnacentral:rRNA from 1 species
CUGACUGUGCAAAGGUAGCAUAAUCAUUUGACUUUUAAUUGGAGGCUUGUAUGAAUGGUUUGACGAGAGCUAAGCUGUCUCUUUUUUAAUAUUUAGAAAUUAACUUUCAGGUGAAGAUGCCUGAAUUUAUUUGAGGGACGAGAAGACCCUGUUGAGCUUUAAUGUAGUAAUAAAAUUUUAAUUGCAAGUGGUAUCUUAACUACUUUUAUUUUGUGUUAAAUAUUAUUUAUUUAGGUAAAAUAUUGUUUUAUUAUUAAUUUUUAGCUGGGGCGACUGAGGAACAAAUAAAGCUUCCUUUAAAGUUUUAUGUUUAAUGUAAAAGAAUUAAUUAUGUUGGCAAAUUAAUAAGAUCCAGUAUCUAUUGAUUAAAGGAAGAAGUUACCACAGGGAUAACAGCGUAAUCUUUCUGGAGAGAUCUUAUCGAAAGGAGGGUUUGCGACCUCGAUGUUGGACUAAGAUAUCCUAAGGGUGUAGAAGCUCUUGAUGGUUGGUCUGUUCGACCAUUAAAAUCUUACGUGAUCUGAGU